GAAUUACUACAAUUCUGAAUUAGGAGAUAAUCAAAUGUUCAAAUGGCCAGUGUUUUCCUGUAGAGAAAACAAAAAAAUCUCCUUACUUUAACAAGGUACUGGGGAACUUGGAAAUACAACUAAAAUCUGGGAAUUCAGUAUGCCUUAUUUUAUAAAAUUUUCCUUUGUUCUUCUCUCAUAGUUUCCAAGCAAAGAAAAAUGAACUAGUUUUACCUUUUCAGGCAUUCCAUGUUCUUUUGCUGAGUACUGUAAACUGUUUUUACUUCUCAUGUGGAAUUCUUGUUCUUCUUCCAAACUACUAACAUCAUCAUCAUCUGAGCUCCCAGGGUCUGCGAGAGAUUUACAGUCCUGACCAAAACUUUGUGGCUUUUGAUAGCUAUGCUCACUUGUUAUAUAAGUUCCUUCCAUUUUUAGGGGCAAACGAGGUGGUUCUUUAUGGUUCUGUACAUAUUUCUUUUCUUCUCGAUUAACUGUGUCUUGAGCUAUUUUUUUCUCCACCCCAGCUAUUAUUUGAUCUUGGUCUUUUCGCUUCCCGGAACAAGCCCAGAGAUGAAGGUCAGGAUGAUGUUUAUUCCUUAAAACAAAGUUGGAAAAACAGCAGUUCAGAAAAAAAAAAAAAUCUAUUAACAAGCUGAAUACAAUGAUCUAUUUCAGAAUUAGGUUAGGAGGACAUCUAGGACUCAAGACAAAAGCAAAGAUGAAGUUGAUAUUAAAUCACAGAGGACUGCACUUACUCGGAUUUUUCAUCAACUGCUAACCUACUAACGUUGCUCAUUAAGCAAGGCAAGCUCUAGCACUAGGAGCAGAUUCAAAAAGAGUAAGACAGCGUUCUGAGGAACUGGUGCAGGAAGAGCUCCUCCACACCUUCAGCGUUCCUGCCCACCCAGGAGAAGAAACACCAUUAAGGACAUGUCAUGGGACCAAUUCACCACAUGCCUAUUAUUUGAGAAAACCUAGUUAUUUCCUGCCUGGAGGCUGAAGUUAAAUUCAAUAUGCAGAAUAUGCUAUCUGAAGAUCCUCUAGCAUAGAAGAAGGCACCAAGUAGACAGCAUGGUGGAUUGAGAGUCAAAAGGCAUAGAUUUCAUCUCAGUCUGCCUCAUCAGUAAAAUAAAGGCAUCACAGGUAGUGUUCUAAGACCCCACCUGCUCUACAAUGAGUCGAAUAUGCAGAACUGCCAGGUCAGUAGCAUGCAAGUUCAUAAUGCAGAUCUACUCCGAUUGCCACAAAUAAGCCUAGCUAGAAAUGGAUACAGAGGAACAGAGGCUAAUUAAUUCUUCUCCAGGAAAAAGUCACACCUCUUCCCUUCCAGUAGGAUAGUAAUUUUGUUGAUAAAUAUAUGCUAAUGUAUUUGUCUAAGUAAUCAAUGUGGAAAAUAAAAAUGUAACAGUGAAAAAAUAUUUUAAAAUUUUA
rnacentral:lncRNA from 1 species